GCUCCAGUGGCGCAGUUGGUUAGCGCAUGGUACUUAUAGGACAGUAUUCAUGUACGAAUCAAUCAUAAAUUCUGUUGAGAUAUGCCGAGGUCGCGAGUUCGAGCCUCGCCUGGAGCA
rfam:Daphnia pulex DAPPTscaffold_79_Cont3880, whole genome shotgun sequence.